rnacentral:rRNA from 1 species
GCGGCGUGCUUAACACAUGCAAGUCGAGCGAAGCAGUUAAGAAGAUUCUUCGGAUGAAACUUGAUUGACUGAGCGGCGGACGGGUGAGUAACGCGUGGGUGACCUGCCCCAUACCGGGGGAUAACAGCUGGAAACGGCUGCUAAUACCGCAUAAGCGCACAGAGCUGCAUGGCUCAGUGUGAAAAACUCCGGUGGUAUGGGAUGGGCCCGCGUCUGAUUAGGCAGUUGGCGGGGUAACGGCCCACCAAACCGACGAUCAGUAGCCGGCCUGAGAGGGCGACCGGCCACAUUGGGACUGAGACACGGCCCAAACUCCUACGGGAGGCAGCAGUGGGGAAUAUUGCACAAUGGGGGAAACCCUGAUGCAGCGACGCCGCGUGAGCGAAGAAGUAUUUCGGUAUGUAAAGCUCUAUCAGCAGGGAAGAUAAUGACGGUACCUGACUAAGAAGCCCCGGCUAACUACGUGCCAGCAGCCGCGGUAAUACGUAGGGGGCAAGCGUUAUCCGGAUUUACUGGGUGUAAAGGGAGCGUAGACGGCAAGGCAAGUCUGAUGUGAAAACCCAGGGCUUAACCCUGGGACUGCAUUGGAAACUGUCUGGCUCGAGUGCCGGAGAGGUAAGCGGAAUUCCUAGUGUAGCGGUGAAAUGCGUAGAUAUUAGGAAGAACACCAGUGGCGAAGGCGGCUUACUGGACGGUAACUGACGUUGAGGCUCGAAAGCGUGGGGAGCAAACAGG